UUCCCUUGGCUUGUGGCAGCAUCUAAGUGUAAUGAAAAGAUUGUUCUUAUACAUGCAGUUCAAAUAAAACCCAUUUAAAAACAAUUAAAAUUAGAAUACAUUUGUAUAACAAUGUAGAAGUGGUGUGCUUGCACGCGGGACACUAUCCAACGUCUAAUUAAUUAUCUAUGUAUUUUCCAAACCUGUAUCUUGAGAUCCAGAUGUCCC